UAAUGAGUUAAAUUAAACAACUUAUAUUGUUAUUCUAAUGAGUUUCAAACCAUCUCUUCUAUUAACUAUGGUUUAAUCACUCCGCUGGCAGCGUCGUGCCAUAGGUUUAAAAUAGGCCGUUUUCUGUCGUUUUCGCCGUCACAAACGAAAUUCAGUUCAGUUUCAAAAUGGCGGCCUUUCACUGAGUGACUCAUUUGGAGUGACUAGCAGCCAGAUGAGUGCUAGCAGCUAAUAACAGAAAAGAUCUGGCUUCAUAAUAAGCUUAUAUUUUAGCGCC